rnacentral:rRNA from 1 species
UUAAAUUGAAGAGUUUGAUCAUGGCUCAGAUUGAACGCUGGCGGCAGGCCUAACACAUGCAAGUCGAACGGUAACAGGAAACAGCUUGCUGUUUCGCUGGCGAGUGGCGGACGGGUGAGUAAUGUCUGGGAAACUGCC